UCUGAAGGAGCAAAGAUGGCGGCCUGAGGCGUGCCGCGGCGCGCCGGCCUUGGCGCCGGGGGGCCGGCUCCUGGCCGGUCCAGCGCUUCUGCUGGCUCCUGCGAGGAAGAACAUUUUCCUUGACUUUCAGGUGCUUUUAUAUUCAUCUCGAAAAGAAAGAAUUCUGAACUCAGGAUUUGGCAAGUAUUUCUGCGUUGUCUUCUGGAGUGGGGAGUCCUGCUUCUUCUGUCUACUCACUUCCGUUUCUUGAAAUGCGGAUAUCCCUCCUCUACAUUUUACCUCCAUGUUUUGGAUUGCAAAAGAUUGCUUUUCUUUUUCUUCCCACCUCUCAAAUUUAACACAGAGAAGCUCCUAGGAUGCAGUCAUUAUGCCAACUUCUCCAAGAAGAAAGAAGCAACUGAUAUGUUUCUUCUGCCAAUUGCUUACUUGUAAAGAAAUUAUUUUGCAAGCUGAAGGGUGAUGUUUAAUUUGAAACUGGUGCUUAGAUGGUGAUAUUUGUGAAUUCUUUACCUUUUAUUCCCAGCAAGAAGACUAUAUAAAUAGCUAAGUGUGGGUGUGACAUCAGGAUUUGUUCAGUUUUUUUUAAUGUCUUCCCAUUUUAGCCACUAUCACAAACACAGUCGAGACUGCAGCAGUAAAUUUCAGAUGUGUUGUAAUUUGAAAUGAAAGAGAUGAUAAUAUAUAUAUAUAAAUCCUGGCUCAACCUGUGACAUAGAUGAACUGGAUAAGAACAAAGGUCCAGCUUUCCAGUGAAACCUUUGAUGUGAUAAAGAAGCACAAAAACAGAAUAUCACAAAGUUAAUUUCAUAUAUGAAUAAGCCAUCACAGUUUCUGUAUAAAUAUAUAUAUUUUAACAUGUAAAUCCACUUUUUUUUUUUAAUGAGAAGAGGGAUUUUCUUCCCAGAGAAGGAACCUAUUCUUGGAAGUCUUUGGACAUUUGGUAUUAUAAAACUUUUUCUUUUUUUCUUCUAAGGAAGGACCAUAUUGUGCUAACCCAAUGAAUGCAUGCUUGGGUUUAGUGAAGGUUGAUAAAGGAAACAAAAGCUUUGAGUCCAGUGUUGGAACUCUUUUCACCUCCUUGGGAUGAGAGGCUGCUGUAUUACAAAUUACUUCAUUCUCUUUUGUGGAGUUUUAUAUAGCAUUGGGACUUUUUCCCUAUUGCUAAGGCUGGAAGAAAGGUGACAUAAGUAGAUUUUCUGUUCAGAAGAUGUGAUGGACCCUCCAGUAUGACCUGCCUUCAACUUUGGACAUGGGGGAAUGGGGGUGGGGGGGAUGAGAAAAUUUUCAUAUAACUCCCUUCUCCUAAGAAAAUGAAGCAAAAAAAGCCUUAUACAUCCACCUGGCUUUAUGGCAUUUUACAUUCAUAGCUCUAUUUUUUUGUAAAAGUAUAAAUAACUUUCCUUUGACCCAAGAUCAAUACUUGUAUGUUUGAUUGCUUUUUCUAGAUGAUAGCUGUAAUGUUAGGCAGAAAAGGCUGGGACUCAGGUAACUCCCCAUUUUCAUCAGAGAAUGGGCCUCAGAAGCAAUGUUCCCAAACAUGUGUUUGGAUCGGUAUAAAUUUAGAAGAAAUUCAGGUCUAAAGAAAACCUCAAAAAAAAAUAGUUCCAAUAAGAAAUAAGGAUCUUCCUUUCCCUUAAAACUCACACUAUAUGGUGAAUAGACUAUAGUAUAAAGCUGUUCUUGCUUCAAGAUCAGCAGAGGACCAGUGUAUGAAUUGUCAGGUCUUUACAUGAGAAGAAUGAGACCAUUAUGGGUCUUCGUUAUUUGAGAAAGAAUUUAAAGCCUCUUAGGAACAAAUCAUCUUAGGUCAUGUCUGUUAUUUAGGGACUGCUUGCCCAGGGCCAUACAUGCUGUUAACGCUGAAAACAGGUAGAUUUACCAAAUUUGAGAGUGAUAGGACUGGCCCCGAAUAGAAAUGUUGAGCACCCUUGAUAAUUAGUUUAAUUGGUCAACCAAUCUGAAUUGGCAUAAGAAAACUUUUGAGUAAAAAUUAUAUAGAUAAAAUGUGAUUUUCCUUAAUUGAGGGCAAUUACUGAGUGGUAAAGCAUAGAAGUAACUGGAUAAAGGUAGUUUAAAUUUUUCUCUACGUAACUUCCCAGCCACUUCCUGAUUCCUAAUAUUUUGGAGUUAUUAAUGGCAGAAUGGAAUUUACAUAUUCCAUUUGGGUCCUGUUGGUAUAUUGAGAAUAUCAAAUGGAGAAUUUGUAUCUUCAGUUGUCUAUUACCCAUCUUCCUGGUGUCCUUUUGGCAACUUUUUAGGUAGAACUACUUGGCUAGAAAUAAGGAACCCUGUACAAUCAGAACCAGUGAAAACAUCUCUGGCUCACUUGUUUGAAAUAUGUAUCAGACUCAACUUCCUUAGUUGCUUUAUGUUUUUUUUCAUUUCAUAGCUAAGGAAACUACUGUUUAAUGUUCUUUCAAGUUGUUGCGCAUCUUGUCAGCAGAUGGCAUUUAACAAAACGCGUAUUUUCCAGUUGUAUUUGCCCAGUGUUUAUUUAAUACAUCUACAUUGGUUUUUUCCUGGUUUGGUCCCCUUCUUGAUGGCAAAAGUUAUCAUUUUCGGCAGGACUCAAUCGAUAGCUGUGCCUGCUUCCUUUCCUUUGUGCAUCCAUGUUAGCUGGCAAUUGUUUUUUGUGUUUUUGUUUUGUUUUUUUAAGUUUAAAACGGGAUAUGUGCAAUAGAAAUAUAUAUAUAUAUAUGUAUAUUUUAAUACUUGUGGACAAAUGUUACAAGUUGUUUCAGAACAACAAAAUCACCAAUGUCUUCCAUUUUGAGAUGUGUAUAGUUUUGUAAGCAUUAGUGCUUGGUAGCAUAUUGUAGUGCCAUGUUAGGGGUUAGUGCAUGAGCCUAGUAACAAUUUAAACUUCAGGAUGAAUUAUUAUAAUAACCAAUAGUGUAAAAAGUGGAACAUUUAGAACUUUUCUUUCAUAAGUUUCUGUAUCCAUGAUAUUCUCCCUGGGGAGAGGAGAUUAGGCCAAAAAGACUCAUUUAUGAAUAGUAAUGUGGGGUCACAAUGUGAAAUACUGUGUUUGAGGAUAUUUAAGCUUUUCAUGAGGUAGCUGGAAACCAGCUGUCUGUGUCUUAUGAAACCUCAAAUCAAAAUGUGGCCCCAUUUCAUGAUUCUGCUUUGCUCAGUUUUAGGUGAGAUUGUUCUUAUGCCUUUUUCACAUUUUAUGUCUUUUAGGUUUAAUUUUCCCACUCCUUUUGCAUCAGGAAAUUAUUUUGCACGUCUUACUGAGAUGCUAUGUUCAUUGCUUGAGUGCUUUUCUAAUCUGCAGUCUACUUACACUCCUGUCUGCAGCAUGCCAUGUGCCAGUAGUUUAGAGUGUCCUAGAUUAAUUUGUCAGGGGCUUUUCCUAUUUCCAAAUUUGCUGAGUUGUGUAUUGUUGGGAUUCUAGACCUUUUCAUGGAAUUGGAAAUGUAGCCAGUAGAGCCUACCUAAGUUGCCAUGUAAUUACUAACUUUGCUUGGUUAUAGUAAGCCUCCUCAGACAGCUUUCACUUUUCUACUUUCCUUGUAGAUAUAAAAGUUAUUUUUAUUCUGAAAGCAUAAGAUAGCAUCAUGUAGAAAAGAAAUUCCUACCUCUAAAAGCUGCCUCGAGAACUUGUAAAUGGCAGUUUUCUGAGGUGGUUUUUAAAUCUCUUAGGGGAGUCCAGGAUUUACUCACAGGUUCUAUAGUUAGCAUGAUAGAAAAUGCAAAACUAGUUUAAUGUGUGUCUGAUGUAGAAGCAAGCUUAGACAGGUAGACUCUUCUGCAGCAGAUCUCCAGGACCCAGAUUUAGAUGCUCAUAGUGUACUUUAAGUAGUUGUACUCUUGGCUCAAGUAGUUUAGUGCCUGCGAGAAUCCAUUUCUGAAAAGUAUUUAAAUACUUUUUUAAUACCUCUGAAAAGGUAAUGAAUACAAAAUAGCACAGUAUAUAGGAAAGGAUAUUUCCUAUUGAAAAAAAAAAGCCAUAAAACGAACUAAUAAUUUCAAGAGGUAGAAUUUUAGCAAUAACAAUUUUAGCAUGUAUAGUAAGCUGGAUUAGCAAGGUUGUACAGUAGAGUAUUACUAGAGUUUGUGAGGCUCUAUGGUCAAGAGUUGUACAAAAGGAAAAAGAUGCUAGGUAAAGAGCAUAUAAAAGGUACUUU